UACGAAGGGGGCUAGCGUUGUUCGGAAUUACUGGGCGUAAAGAGCUCGUAGGUGGCCUGUCGCGUCGGCUGUGAAAACUCGGGGCUCAACUCCGAGCUUGCAGUCGAUACGGGCAGGCUAGAGUUCGGCAGGGGAGACUGGAAUUCCUGGUGUAGCGGUGAAAUGCGCAGAUAUCAGGAGGAACACCGGUGGCGAAGGCGGGUCUCUGGGCCGAUACUGACACUGAGGAGCGAAAGCGUGGGGAGCGAACAGG
rnacentral:rRNA from 1 species